ACGUGCUACUACGACGUGCUACUUUUACGUGCUACUACUACAUACUACUACUACUAUUACAUCCGUACUACAUCAUGGUGUUGACACGCAAAGAGUUUUAAGGGGCUUCCCGUGUGUCGUUGAACGCGAGAAUGGAAAGGUUUCUACGACGGAAGAGUACACGCUUGAAAAGAGACAGCACAGGUAUCCUUUGAAAUGUAUUAGUCCGAUUAGGUUCUAAUCGUUACACGUAUACACCGUGUGUAUCGUGUUUAGAGGAAUGCCUAGUUUCAUUGAACAGAUUCUUCUGCGUGAAUGAUCUAAAA